rnacentral:lncRNA from 1 species
CCACUGGGGACAAGCCUCGAGAGUAGCCUCGGAUUUGGAAUUCCCUAGAAGCAGAGCGUGUGCAAAGAACUCCCAGGCUGUCCUCACACUGGAAGAUCUGAUCCUUAGUUCUGAAUCCUCAGGGCUGUAAAGAGAACUUCAAACUCCAGCUGGAAGGGUGGCCUCUGCGGAGAGGGCUGGAGGAGGAGACAGUGCCAUCUUUUCAGGUGUGGGCCCUUGAGCGGUAAAUGCCUGCUGUCACAUGAGAAGAGCCAGGUACAGAGUGUUUACAGAAACCAACCGUAAAUCCCGGAGUCGCGGAACAUCCUUCAUCAUUUCUUGUAAGUCUCAGGGAAGAUGUGCCAGUGCCUCGAAGUAUAAAUCAGCAUCAUCUUGAACCUCUGACUGAUGUGAUUGGACAGGAAGAAGAAGUAAAAUAAGCAUUAAAAAUGAGAGAAAAGGUUACUAUAAUUUGGAGAAGAUGCGAUGGUAUGUCUAGAGAACCUGUAAGUUUUAAAUAAAAAUCAUUCAACAAAUAAAG